GUAGCGGCAGCACUAGUCACCAGACGAGUGGCGACGAACACUGCUGAAUAAGACCAUAGUGGAACGGAUUUGCUUUAGAAAGUCGACCGAUGGGUUACUGGUCUGGACUGGAGCGGGACCAACGAACGCGUUGGGCGGAACGGUUGCAGGAGGCCGCAGCGGCACUGAGAGCAGCACGCAAGUGAGAGACUUGAGGGAUCCUGUGUGUGUGUGUCUCCCCAGUGCUCAGGAGGGCAGGAGUCUGUGCCCGAAGGCAACUGAGGCAUGGUCGUUCGACUGACAGAUACGUUCAAUGAGGCAUAGGUUUCGUAUGGUUUGCGUUUCCGUGCAGGGACGCUAUUUGGGUGGUAUAUGCUGGACUUGAGCUGGCAGCAGCUACACAGGGAGUGCCUACUGCUUGCGAGGACGCAAGAUUCACAUACGUACCUAAGCGUCGGACAGUUAGAUUGGAGUCAGAGUGCCUACUGUUUGCUGGUAACGCUUCAUGAACUAUAGACGUGCCUUGGUAGAGCACAGUUCAUUUGAAAUCUGCGUGCAACCUACUUGCAAAGCCUCAUAAACUAUCGG